GGUAAAUACGUGGCGGCAGGCAGGGGUAAAGGUGUUGGGCGAGCGGUAAUGGUAAGUACGGUGCGGAAAGGGUGCGCAGGCGGUUAUGUAAGGCAGAUGGCAAAGCGCCGGGCUCAACCGGGGAACUGCGUUGGUGACUGCAUAACUAGAGGACGGCAGAGGGAGGUGGAAUUCCACGUGUAGCAGUGAAAUGCGUAGAGAUGUGGAGGAACACCGAUGGCGAAGGCAGCCUCCUGGGCCAGUACUGACGCUCAUGCACGAAAGCGUGGGGAGCAAACAGGAUUAGAUACCCGGGUAGUC
rnacentral:rRNA from 1 species